rnacentral:rRNA from 1 species
GUAGAUAUGUGGAAGAACACCAGUGGCGAAAGCGGCUUGCUAGAUCGUAACUGACGUUGAGGCUCGAAAGUAUGGGUAGCAAACGGGAUUAGAUACCCCGGUAGUCCAUACCGUAAACGAUGGGUGCUAGUUGUUAAGAGGUUUCCGCCUCCUAGUGACGUAGCAAACGCAUUAAGCACCCCGCCUGAGGAGUACGGCCGCAAGGCUAAAACUUAAAGGAAUUGACGGGGACCCGCACAAGCGGUGGAGCAUGUGGUUUAAUUCGAAGAUACGCGAAAAACCUUACCAGGUCUUGACAUACCAAUGAUCGCUUUUGUAAUGAAAGCUUUUCUUCGGAACAUUGGAUACAGGUGGUGCAUGGUCGUCGUCAGCUCGUGUCGUGAGAUGUUGGGUUAAGUCCCGCAACGAGCGCAACCCUUGUUAUUAGUUGCCAGCAUUUAGUUGGGCACUCUAAUGAGACUGCCGGUGAUAAACCGGAGGAAGGUGGGGACGACGUCAGAUCAUCAUGCCCCUUAUGACCUGGGCAACACACGUGCUACAAUGGGAAGUACAACGAGUCGCAAACCGGCGACGGUAAGCUAAUCUCUUAAAACUUCUCUCAGUUCGGACUGGAGUCUGCAACUCGACUCCACGAAGGCGGAAUCGCUAGUAAUCGCGAAUCAGCAUGUCGCGGUGAAUACGUUCCCGGGUCUUGUACACACCGCCCGUCAAAUCAUGGGAGUCGGAAGUACCC